CAUGGUCAGGUUCUGGUGAAGGCCCUCUUGCUGGUUGCAGGCUGCUGACUUCUCGCUUGCCUUUUUGCAGAGUCUCCACCAUUAGCCUUUUGGAGUGAGCCGUCUGUAUCCUGCCAGGACCCUGACCGAUUCAACACCGUAAUCUGUGCAUAGCUGGUGUGGCCCAUAUGCAGCAGCACAGUGUGGCCCUUUCAGCCCCAGAGCUGCAAGAUGGAUAGUCUACCUCCAGGCAUCAAGGUUGGAUUUCAGACAGGAAGAAAUGGCAAAAGGCACCAAAUAGCUCUUUGCCAGGAAAAUAAUAGCUUUUUAGGAAGUGACAGACAGCAGGAGAGUCGGGAAGUGGAUAAUCCCCCUUGUGAUGCUGGAUGGUGAGAAGACGAUGUAGCCGAC